rnacentral:rRNA from 1 species
CCUACGGGAGGCAGCAGUAGGGAAUCUUCCACAAUGGGCGAAAGCCUGAUGGAGCAACGCCGCGUGGGUGAAGAAGGUCUUCGGAUCGUAAAACCCUGUUGUUAGAGAAGAAAGUGCGAGAGAGUAACUGUUCACGUUUCGACGGUAUCUAACCAGAAAGCCACGGCUAACGACGUGCCAGCAGCCGCGGUAAUACGUAGGUGGCAAGCGUUAUCCGGAUUUAUUGGGCGUAAAGGGAACGCAGGCGGUCUUUUAAGUCUGAUGUGACAGCCUUCGGCUUAACCGGAGUAGUGCAUUGGAAACUGGGAGCCUUGAGUGCAGCUGCGUAUAGUGGACCUCCAUGUGUAGCGGU